rnacentral:rRNA from 1 species
AUGCAAGUCGAACGGUAACAGGAAGAAGCUUGCUUCUUUGCUGACGAGUGGCGGACGGGUGAGUAAUGUCUGGGAAACUGCCUGAUGGAGGGGGAUAACUACUGGAAACGGUAGCUAAUACCGCAUAACGUCGCAAGACCAAAGAGGGGGACCUUCGGGCCUCUUGCCAUCGGAUGUGCCCAGAUGGGAUUAGCUAGUAGGUGGGGUAACGGCUCACCUAGGCGACGAUCCCUAGCUGGUCUGAGAGGAUGACCAGCCACACUGGAACUGAGACACGGUCCAGACUCCUACGGGAGGCAGCAGUGGGGAAUAUUGCACAAUGGGCGCAAGCCUGAUGCAGCCAUGCCGCGUGUAUGAAGAAGGCCUUCGGGUUGUAAAGUACUUUCAGCGGGGAGGAAGGGAGUAAAGUUAAUACCUUUGCUCAUUGACGUUACCCGCAGAAGAAGCACCGGCUAACUCCGUGCCAGCAGCCGCGGUAAUACGGAGGGUGCAAGCGUUAAUCGGAAUUACUGGGCGCAAAGCGCACGCAGGCGGUUUGUUAAGUCAGAUGUGAAAUCCCCGGGCUCAACCUGGGAACUGCAUCUGAUACUGGCAAGCUUGAGUC